UACGUAGGGGGCAAGCGUUGUCCGGAAUCAUUGGGCGUAAAGCGCGUGUAGGCGGUUCGGUAAGUCCGCUGUGAAAGUCGGGGGCUCAACCCUCGAAAGCCGGUGGAUACUGUCGGGCUUGAGUACGGAAGAGGCGAGUGGAAUUCCUGGUGUAGCGGUGAAAUGCGUAGAGAUCAGCAGGAACACCCGUGGCGAAGGCGGCCCCCUGGGCCGUACCUGACGCUGAGGCGCGAAGGCUAGGGGAGCGAACGGG
rnacentral:rRNA from 1 species